rnacentral:rRNA from 1 species
UGAGCAAUCUGCCCUUCACAUCGGAAUAAGCGUUGGAAACGACGUCUAAUGCCGAAUACGACCUCCUUUCGCAUAAUCGGAGGUGGAAAGCUCCGGCGGAGAAGGAUGAGCUCGCGGCCUAUCAGCUAGUUGGUGAGGUAAUGGCUCACCAAGGCGACGACGGGUAGCCGGCCUGAGAGGGUGACCGGCCACACUGGGACUGAGACACGGCCCAGACUCCGUACGGGAGCAG